AUUGAACGCUGGCGGCAUGCUUUACACAUGCAAGUCGAACGGUAACAGGCCGCAAGGUGCUGACGAGUGGCGAACGGGUGAGUAAUGCAUCGGAACGUGCCCAGUCGUGGGGGAUAACGCAGCGAAAGCUGCGCUAAUACCGCAUACGAUCUAUGGAUGAAAGCGGGGACCGUAAGGCCUCGCGCGAUUGGAGCGGCCGA
rnacentral:rRNA from 1 species